rnacentral:rRNA from 2 species
GGGUUGUGAGGUUAAGCGACUAAGCGUACACGGUGGAUGCCCUGGCAGUCAGAGGCGAUGAAGGACGUGCUAAUCUGCGAUAAGCGUCGGUAAGGUGAUAUGAACCGUUAUAACCGGCGAUUUCCGAAUGGGGAAACCCAGUGUGUUUCGACACACUAUCAUUAACUGAAUCCAUAGGUUAAUGAGGCGAACCGGGGGAACUGAAACAUCUAAGUACCCCGAGGAAAAGAAAUCAACCGAGAUUCCCCCAGUAGCGGCGAGCGAACGGGGAGG